CUUUUCCAAGUCACUUCCCCCAAAUUCUCUCUAAAUCCCGAUUGAUUAUCAGUGUUUUGGAUUUUGAGUUAAAGAAUUCUUGAAAACGGCACAAUCAGUGAUUGAAGUUCCAUCAAAGGGUGGGUUUAGUUUCGAUCUAUGUGUUAGAAACGAUAUGCUCGCCAAGAAAGGUGUUCAACUUCCUUCUUACAGGAAAACGGGUACCACCAUUGUUGGUCUUGUCUACAAGGAUGGUGUUGUUCUUGGAGCGGAUACAAGGGCAACAGAAGGAACCAUUGUUUGUGACAAUAACUGUGAAAAUAUUCAU